rnacentral:rRNA from 1 species
UACGUAGGUGGCAAGCGUUGUCCGGAUUUACUGGGCGUAAAGGGCGUGCAGGCGGUCUGUUAAGUCUAGGGUGAAAGCUCCCGGCUCAACUGGGGAGGGUCACGCGAUACUGAUCGACUCGAAGGCAGGAGAGGGAAGUGGAAUUCCCGGUGUAGUGGUGAAAUGCGUAGAUAUCGGGAGGAACACCAGUGGCGAAGGCGACUUCCUGGCCUGUUUCUUGACGCUGAGGCGCGAAAGCUAGGGGAGCAAACGGG